rnacentral:rRNA from 1 species
ACGUAGGGUGCGAGCGUUGUCCGGAUUUACUGGGUGAAAAGGGUGCGUAGGCGGCGAGGCAAGUCAGGCGUGAAAUCGAUGGACUUAACCCAUAAACUGCGCUUGAAACUGUCUUACUUGAGUGAAGUAGAGGUAGGCGGAAUUCCCGGUGUGGCGGUGAAAUGCGUAGAGAACGGGAGGAACACCAGUGGCAAAGGCGGCCUACUGAGCUUUAACAGACGCUGAUGCAAGAAAGCAUGGGUACCAAACAG